CUAAUUCAGUAAUUCCCAAAUGCUCCCUGCUCCUCUUGAAUCGCACCUUUGAAAUUCCAACGCAUCCGUUUCGCCACACACGCACACCCCCCAAACCCAUCCACAGACUCACUCACUCUCACACACACGCCACUCUCUCUCUACACUCUCGCAGUCGAACGAAUCUCCGGCGAGAAGCGACGAUUUCCUCACCGUUCGUCGGCCCUCCGUCUCGCGGCUGCGGACCCCUGCAUUUCCCGGCGGAUUCCUCCGGCAAUCGCCCCGGAUCAGCCCGAGGAAAAGAGCAACUCCAAUGGGUACCAUGCAUUUGCUCCUCGGGGAACAACAAUUAUGUCUAAUGACUGAAACUUAGCUCUUUUAGUACGAAUGUCUUCGUUUCAAAUGUUUAAAUUCAUAGAAGUAGGAUUUAGAGGAGUUGGUGAUGUCCUCUUGCACGGCAGCAGCAUCCAUUUCAUUUUGUGAUGUCCUCUAACAAGUCUAGUGACUGAAACUUGGUGACAAGUCUAGUGACUUUUGUUAUGUUUCCUCUCUUUUAUCUAAUGAAAUUCCUUGCCAAA